rnacentral:tRNA from 1 species
CCCACAGGUAGCUCAGUGGUAGAACACUUGCCUAGCAUACAUGAAGCCCUGGGUUAGAGCCCCAGAACUGGGGGG